UACGUAGGGUGCGAGCGUUGUCCGGAAUUAUUGGGCGUAAAGGGCUCGUAGGCGGUUUGUCGCGUCGGGGAGUGAAAACACCGGGCUUAACUCGGUGCUUGCUUUCGAUACGGGCAGACUAGAGGUAUUCAGGGGAGAACGGAAUUCCUGGUGUAGCGGUGAAAUGCGCAGAUAUCAGGAGGAACACCGGUGGCGAAGGCGGUUCUCUGGGAAUAUCCUGACGCUGAGGAGCGAAAGUGUGGGGAGCGAACAGG
rnacentral:rRNA from 1 species